rnacentral:rRNA from 1 species
GACGAACGCUGGCGGCGCGCCUAACACAUGCAAGUCGAACGGAGUCACGAGGAGCUUGCUUUUCUUGACUUAGUGGCGAACGGGUGAGUAACGCGUGAGUAACCUGCCCUGGAGUGGGGGACAACAGUUGGAAACGACUGCUAAUACCGCAUAAGCCCACGGAUCCGCAUGGAUCUGCGGGAAAAGGAUUUAUUCGCUUCAGGAUGGACUCGCGUCCAAUUAGCUAGUUGGUGAGGUAACGGCCCACCAAGGCGACGAUUGGUAGCCGGACUGAGAGGUUGGACGGCCACAUUGGGACUGGGACACGGCCCAGCCUCCUACGGGGGGCAGCAGUGGGGGAAUUUGCACAAUGGGGGAAACCCUGAGGCAGCGACGCCGGGUGGAGGAAGAAGGUUUUCGGAUUGUAAACCCCUGUCGUUAGGGACGAUAAGGACGGGACCAAACAAGAAAGCACCGGCUAACUACGG